ACAGGGGCAAAAGGGAGAGGGAGAGAGAGGGCGAGAGAGAGAGGGCAAUGGGAGGAGAGAGGGAGAGAGGAGAGAUAAAUUUGCUAUAAAAUCCUGCAUAUAGCUAUAAAUUGUAAUAUUUUAAACUAUAAUGACUUAUCGUAAAUAUAUAUCACAUGCUUGUCUUCUUGUUGUGUAAUUUUUCCUAGAAAAAACUUCUUUGUUAUUAUGCACAACAAGCU
rnacentral:lncRNA from 1 species